UCUCGAUUGGUCUAGUGGUCAGGAUACCUGCUUGUCAUUCAAUGAUUCAGUAUCACAGAAAAAAUCGCAGGUGGCCGGGGUUCGAUUCCCCGAUCGAGAG